GACGAACGCUGGCGGCGUGCUUAACACAUGUAAGUCGAACGGAAAGGCCCUGCUUUUGUGGGGCGCUCGAGUGGCGAACGGGUGAGUAACACGUGAGUAACCUGCCCUUGACUUUGGGAUAACUUCAGGAAACUGGGGCUAAUACCGGAUAGGAGCUCCUGCUGCAUGGUGGGGGUUGGAAAGUUUCGGCGGUUGGGGAUGGACUCGCGGCUUAUCAGCUUGUUGGUGGGGUAGUGGCUUACCAAGGCUUUGACGGGUAGCCGGCCUGAGAGGGUGACCGGCCACAUUGGGACUGAGAUACGGCCCAGACUCCUACGGGAGGCAGCAGUGGGGAAUAUUGCACAAUGGGCGGAAGCCUGAUGCAGCAACGCCGCGUGCGGGAUGACGGCCUUCGGGUUGUAAACCGCUUUCGCCUGUGACGAAGCGUGAGUGACGGUAAUGGGUAAAGAAGCACCGGCUAACUACGUG
rnacentral:rRNA from 1 species